AUCGACCCCUGCAAACAAAGCUUCCAAGGAAAUGUCCCGUGUGUACGGGCUUGGUGGAAUGUCAUCGCGGACAUCGGAUCCGCGAGGUGGUGGCUUUACUUGGAUUACUUUUAAUUAGUUUUUGGCGUGAUACUUCAAAGUGAAAAGCAAGAUGAUGCAAUUUUACAACGUUCCCCUUACGCACUUUUCCGCAGACUGUCGAAAACAGGCGCAAACAAAUUCUGUUAGGGCGUCAUCCCGGAGGACUCCGAAUAUCCAUAGAACAACGGGUGCGAUUCUGGGGGCGACCCAAGUUCCCUAAUUUGAUAUGUUAUGAAAUCAAAUACCAAACCAAUAUGAGCACGAGUAAAAUAUUGCUGGGCAUAUGAACUCGAUAACGAUGCCAUCGGAACAGAUGCGCAUCGAUGCAUGCAGCAAAAAAGAGGAGGAAAAAGUUCAAAACCGCAAAGUUUCGCCGUGUUUUAAUUCCGCCGGCCCGAAAUACAUUUGCUGAACCGGUAAAAUCUUUCCAUCAACUUUGGCUAGUUGCUACCUACUUCUGUUUUGUACUUGAAAAGAUAAGUUCGGAAAUAUUUUUUUCAAGUAUUGGUAUCAUGAUCCAGCUGUAGAAUCUUUGCUGCAGUCUACUGUCGGUGGGUGUGCUGGAGACUGAAUCCAAGCAUGGAGUUGCGUGUGCUGACCGCUAAUUUCAUCCAGCUUUCAUUAGAUCUGGCUCAAGUGAGGCGAUGCGGUCCAAAACAAACAAAACAUACGCCUCUUAUUUGAGGAGGGCCAACAUUUAUUAGCGCAUCAGAUAAGAUAUUGUUAAGGUUGCCUUCACACAUCAUGAAAUUUAGGAAACACGAAGUAGCCAGACCAGCCUCCACCCCGAAGCGUCGAAAAUGGACGAAGCAUCUGAAGCAAACUUUCACGGAGAGGGCUGGCGGUCCACGGACACUUCAAUGACAACAAAGAAUCUUCUAGCGACAGAAAGCCCAUGGAAUGACAAUUUACAUCGCAGUUUCUCAUUGCGAAGCUGGAAGUGGAAAACGGUUCUAAGAUGAUUGUGAAUCUGUCCAGCAAUUUCGGUAAUUUCCUACUCGUGUACCUAGCUUGGGUAAGUUAAAGUUUUAUGAAGGAUUUAAUUAUUAAACUAUCAUGAUAUUCUAAGAGGAACGAUUGCAUUUAAAAUAUGUAAACUAAAUGCAAUCAAAAUAAGGAAAACUAAACAUAAUUAUGUAUCGAGAAAAUUUUGGCUAUUUUGCGACAAGCAUCCAAUUUGAUCGUAUAUGUUAAUCAGUUCAUUUUGAAACAGAGAUAAACUUUUUUGUAUAAGGUACACCGGGGUAAGUGGAGACGAUGGCUAUUAAAAAAACUGUGAAUUUUUUUUUUAACUUUUAAUGAAGAAUGUUAAAUUUACUUGUAAUCUAUCCAAUAACUGUAAAAGAGAUACGGUUCCGACAACAGCGGAUGAUUACGGUGAUUUUUUGUUAAUUUUCUAUUUUUAACUACGAUGUGGAGUUGAUGUGCAUCUUUUUCAAUCGCAAAUUUCUCGUAAACUAGCUGACUCUUGACGAAAAACUCUACAUUGAAACAAUCCUUACAACCAGUUAGAAAAGAAACGACGGUUUCAAAUUAAGAAAAAGGAGUUUGUUUGCAAAAAUCUAAAAUUUUGUCUCCAAACCCUACGUGGGGUAAGUGGGAACGGUUUCAUACAUACUUGAUAUUUACACAUUUUUUUGUACUCUACCAAAGCGAGAGCUUUUGCAAGCAUAUUUGGAAACUGCACAAAACCUGUAUCUUUCGUCUCUGCCCUACCAGAUGUAUUGUCAUUGAAGUUGAAAUCCGAAGUUUUCGCGCUGGUGAUCGGCAACCUUGCCAACUAGCGACGUUGUGAAAUAUCAUUACUGGCAACGCUUUUGUAAAGCAAUAACCAGCGUGCCUAUACAGCUACGGGUGGUUGCAUAUUGAGCAACAGUAGGCAAGGAGUACCAAAAGUUUCUCAUUGGUGGGGGGUGGAGACGGAGCGCUUUUUGACAGCGAAUUGUUCGCCUACCAUGCCUAUGAUUACGAUUGCCUGUCACAAAAUGGACGAUUCCGUGUCGACGGAUAGAUUUCCAAGUCUCUCGAACAUGGAGAAAGCUGCGCAAAGUAACACCUCCCCAAAUCCCGCGGUCGUAUUUUUUCGGCCCAAUCUUCAACGGCAAUCACCAGUCGGACCAGCCAGCAGCUGGAGUGGCUUUCGGAAGUUUAUUGACCGGCCCACGGAGAAUGCGAAACUUUGUCAACGAUAUCAAGGACCCUACUCGGUUAUAGUGAACCAGUGUUUUAUGUGUUUGUGAAUAAAAAAGAAUUUAAGAACUAAAAUUGUAUAUUUUUAUUAUUCAAACUCCUAAUAGGAACUUCGAAACAACAGGGUAAAAAUCUUCCAAUUGGAAUAAAUGGAAAAUGGUUCAAUGAAUAAAUGCUUUUAAAUCUUUAUCUAAAUUACCUUUGAGCAAAGAUAAUAACUUUAAAUCAAAUGAAACUGGUUUUUGUAUCAAAGCAUUAAUAUUUUGAAUCUAAGAUUUUUCAAAAGAAAAAAUCUUUGAAACAGAGGAAAAUGCAUUUGAACCAAAGGAUUUUUUAUUUAUACCAAAACCAAAGGAAAUCCUUUGUUUUUGCGGCACUUUCCUUUGAAAUAAAAAAUCUUUGGUAUAAGAACACACCCGAAGUUGUACACGUCCUGAUAAUAACUUGUCGCCAGUGAGUGUCGCCAGUAAAUGUCGCCAGCGCUCAUUGACGAUAACUCCGGUUUGGGGAUUCAGCGACAAUAUUUCGGAUUGGGCAUUGAAGAUUUGUCGGAGCUAAAGUACAAAUCGUUUGGAGGGUUUAAUUUUCGAUCAACUAUAAGGACAACUGUAGCAUAGAGACGCUCAAUCAACUGAAUGUGAACUCAUUUAUGUACUGUGCUAUUCUGGUGGCGCAGUGCUUUGGAAAGCAAACAAAAUUACAAUUUAAAUUUUCGAGUUUAUCAGAAAAGAAUAUGGCACAAGCCACAACUGUGAUCAGUUCGACAGCCAUCACUCCGCUGCCGAUCGAGAAAGCUCCUCCCGUAUAUGUAGACAUAACUAAAUCCGACUAACAUUCCCACGGCUACCACACAACCCACCUACAGCGUUACCGUUCCUGCACAAAACAUCAAACACAGCGUGGUAGGAAAUAUUCCGGACCAACAACGGCCGUCAUUCCCUCGGUGGUUGCGUCAACAAUUUCAGGAUUAAUAUUCAAUUUUCUAUUGCAGUUCUGAAGGCCACCACUAUUCCUUCCAUCGCACCAGGAAUGUUCGUAUCAGCCACUGCUUAUACCUUUUUUUCUGCCGCUGCCGAUAAAGAAGCAGAAGAGGCAAACAGCUGCACAAAAUUGCUGCGAAUCAUUCGAUUGCCGGAACUGUUGAUCAAAAUCAUGGAGAGUUGCACUUGAAGUGGUUCUUUCUACAUUCUAUCGCAUAUUCAUAAACUGCGCUUCGAAGGCCCCACCCUAGAAGAACCCAAGGUAGAUUGUUUGAAUUGUCUCAUUUCUCACCACUCCCAACAAAUUGAAUUGAAAAAAAGGAAAACCAGUAGCGUCCACGAUUAAUGAAGAGCCGUCAUCUGGUGGUGGAAACGGCCCCGACGCCAUCGCAGUCAUUCCCUCGGUGGUUGCGCCAACAAUUUCCGUUCCAAUGGCCACGACCAUUCCUUCCAUCGCACCAGUCAUGUUGGCUCAAAACAUCGUAUCAGGCGCUGCUUAUACCUCUUCUUGUGCCGCUGCUGAUAAAGAAGCGGAAGAUGGUGACGACGAUGACACGGGCUUCGUUUCCAGUCAAAAUGAGCGGUGAAAAUAAGUUCAAAGUUUUUCAGGACUGCAAACAGUUGAAGAGGCCUCGCUGAGUUUUGCGCAAUGACUUAUAGCCGGAGAGGCAGCAAAGGAAUAAAAU